AAGGGCCCCUUGAACAGAUGGAGAUUUCAGGUGAUAAUAUGCAGCCUAGUGUGGAAGCCUCUGACCUGGAUCACCAGACCAGUGGUUCUCAACUUACAAGGGGUCCUAGGGACUUAGCAGGUGGUUCGGUGGCUAAGACUUCACGGUUCCCAAUACAGGGGAUCCAGGUUGGAUCCCUGGUCAGAGGGCCAGAUCCCACACGUUGCCACUGAGAAUUCAUAUGCCGCAAUUCAAGAUUCCACAUGCUGCAACUAAAGAGUCUCAAGCCACAUUUACAGGACUCAGUUUUGGUCCCCACAUUCUGAAAGCCCCUGCUGGACUCAGAAACCACCAACGGUCUGAAUCGCUCCUGGGCAGUGGCAUCAACUUGGGUACCACUCUUUCUGCUGCCGGAGGUCCUGGAUAACCGCAUCUCUGUCUUAUGGAGAGGCAGGCACCGGCUUUGCCCUGAACUGAUGGUCUGCCCUGCAACCUCCUCCUCCUUUCCUUUCUCCAGGAGACAGUUUUGACACUUGCUCAGGGACUUCUGAGAAUUCCAGAAAAACAUCUACUUCUGCUUCAUUGACUAUGCUAAAGCCUUUGACUGUGUGAAUCACAACAAACAGAAUUCUUAAAGAGAUGGGAAUCCCAGGCC